rnacentral:rRNA from 1 species
GAUGAACGCUGGCGGCGUGCCUAAUACAUGCAAGUCGAACGAGUUCUCGUUGAUGAUCGGUGCUUGCACCGAGAUUCAACAUGGAACGAGUGGCGGACGGGUGAGUAACACGUGGGUAACCUGCCCUUAAGUGGGGGAUAACAUUUGGAAACAGAUGCUAAUACCGCAUAGAUCCAAGAACCGCAUGGUUCUUGGCUGAAAGAUGGCGUAAGCUAUCGCUUUUGGAUGGACCCGCGGCGUAUUAGCUAGUUGGUGAGGUAAUGGCUCACCAAGGCGAUGAUACGUAGCCGAACUGAGAGGUUGAUCGGCCACAUUGGGACUGAGACACGGCCCAAACUCCUACGGGAGGCAGCAGUAGGGAAUCUUCCACAAUGGACGCAAGUCUGAUGGAGCAACGCCGCGUGAGUGAAGAAGGCUUUCGGGUCGUAAAACUCUGUUGUUGGAGAAGAAUGGUCGGCAGAGUAACUGUUGUCGGCGUGACGGUAUCCAACCAGAAAGCCACGGCUAACUACGUGCCAGCAGCCGCGGUAAUACGUAGGUGGCAAGCGUUAUCCGGAUUUAUUGGGCGUAAAGCGAGCGCAGGCGGUUUUUUAAGUCUGAUGUGAAAGCCCUCGGCUUAACCGAGGAAGCGCAUCGGAAACUGGGAAACUUGAGUGCAGAAGAGGACAGUGGAACUCCAUGUGUAGCGGUGAAAUGCGUAGAUAUAUGGAAGAACACCAGUGGCGAAGGCGGCUGUCUGGUCUGUAACUGACGCUGAGGCUCGAAAGCAUGGGUAGCGAACAGGAUUAGAUACCCUGGUAGUCCAUGCCGUAAACGAUGAGUGCUAGGUGUUGGAGGGUUUCCGCCCUUCAGUGCCGCAGCUAACGCAUUAAGCAUUCCGCCUGGGGAGUACGACCGCAAGGUUGAAACUCAAAGGAAUUGACGGGGGCCCGCACAAGCGGUGGAGCAUGUGGUUUAAUUCGAAGCAACGCGAAGAACCUUACCAGGUCUUGACAUCUUUUGAUCACCUGAGAGAUCAGGUUUCCCCUUCGGGGGCAAAAUGACAGGUGGUGCAUGGUUGUCGUCAGCUCGUGUCGUGAGAUGUUGGGUUAAGUCCCGCAACGAGCGCAACCCUUAUGACUAGUUGCCAGCAUUUAGUUGGGCACUCUAGUAAGACUGCCGGUGACAAACCGGAGGAAGGUGGGGAUGACGUCAAAUCAUCAUGCCCCUUAUGACCUGGGCUACACACGUGCUACAAUGGAUGGUACAACGAGUUGCGAGACCGCGAGGUCAAGCUAAUCUCUUAAAGCCAUUCUCAGUUCGGACUGUAGGCUGCAACUCGCCUACACGAAGUCGGAAUCGCUAGUAAUCGCGGAUCAGCACGCCGCGGUGAAUACGUUCCCGGGCCUUGUACACACCGCCCGUCACACCAUGAGAGUUUGUAACACCCGAAGCCGGUGGCGUAACCCUUUUAGGGAGCGAGCCGUCUAAGGUGGGACAAAUGAUUAGGGUG